ACGACCGCGUCCCGCGUUC
rnacentral:snRNA from 1 species